CGAAGUUUUCUCCAAGAUAGCUGAAGUAUGAGGGUGAGUACUAUCAAAUAAAGCCCAAUGAUUAGAGGCAUCAAGGUGCAUCACCCUCAAUUUAUUCUCAAAUUUUAAAUAUGUAGGAUGGUGUGGUUGCUCUGUUGAGCCAUGUCAUGGAAUCGAGAACUCCAAAUAUAUCAUUUUUAAUUUGGUAAGAAGAACUACCCAUGCUAGAUGAAUCGGAAGUUGGGUUACGGUGUCCAAUUGCACGCUAACCUAAACACCUGGUGUUCGUCAAAUAAGACAGUAUAGGACGGUGGUCAUGGAAGUCGAAAUCCGCUAAAGAGUAUAUAACAGCUUACCUUCUAAAUCAACUAGUUCAAAAAAUGGAUGGCGUUAAAGCAACCUAUAACCGGCUCCAUUGAACAUUUCAAAAAAUUGGUAGUAG
rnacentral:ncRNA from 1 species